GGCACACAGUGGCUAACAGUAUUCGGCGAUGUGCCCCGCACGCACCCAGCUGCUUCAACUGCACCUAUCACACCUCCGGCCGAGGUGCAAGUGAGGCCGCACAGCGCGCGUUUCGCAUGCUGAUUGACCUUGCGCGGCGGCUGGGGGAGGCGUGUACGGUGGUGUGGGAGGCGCGGGUGGUUGAGGGGUGUGGCCCCUUCGACUUUUGGCUGUGGGAGUGGGGUGUGGUGGUUGAAGUGGAUGGCAUGCAGCACACGGAUACCCCGCAUCACGGCACGGAAGCGCAAGCACAGUGGCUGGUGGAUCGGUGGAAGGAAGCAGCUGCUGUUCGCAAGCGGCUGCAUGUGGCGCGGUUGCAUGUGAUGGACAUGGUGUGCUGGGAGGCCGUGGUUGCGCGUGCACUGUGUGCUGCUCGUAACGGCAUUCCGCCGUGCGUGCACUACAGCGACUACUACCUGCGGCCUGUGAUUACACAGUCAUGAGCUCCCAACGCACCUGGUACUGUAGCUCGGGUGGCGGCGUGUAGGCCCUGCCUGUGGUGCCGGCAACAGGCUCCCAUCGCACGACGCCGAAGGCAGGGCACACGGUGAUGAUGUACUUGAUGGUGUUGGGUCGUGAUGAUCCGCAGCGGUAGUCCUCAAUGGUGAUGCUCUGCCCGCGCGGGCCUGCAGUCCAGGCGGUGUAGUCGGUUGGGUUGCAGAUGAAGGUCUUUUCGUCGGUCAUGGCGAAACCGUUGAAGAUGGUUAAGUUGAGCCAUGCGUCGCUUUCAAACUCCGCUGUGCCAAUGUCUGGUGGCAAGGGAAAGGCGCCAUCGCUGACACCGUACUCCCUUUCAGCCUCCACGGCUGAGACCAUCUUCACGCCUGGAGCAUUGGGGUUGACAAGCUUGCGCAACCACGCUGCUGAGCGGUCCAGCCGGUCACCCCACUGCUCGGGGCUGAGGAAGGGGCGGUGCUCCACCUUUAAGUUCUUUUGGAGGGUUGGAUCGUAGUGUUGCAUGGAGCGCCACAGGGAUUUGAAAGUGAUCUUGUGGGAUUUGAGAACGUCUUGAAAGGGCGCGUCGUGCUCGUACUUGGCGGCAGAGUCAUAGUGGACGCUCUUGACGUGGUCGACCAGGGUUUUCAGGAUGGGGUCCGACACCGUGCGCGGCCGGCCUGGGCGUGGCUUGGGCUCUGUCCCGCCAGUGUGCACGUAGCGCACGUACCACUUCUUAAUCUGCUCUGCCAUAUGCUUGGGUGAUGCCUCCCAUGGUGUGUAAUCAACUGGCUGCGGGAAGAUCUCUGGGCAUGCCUCGCGUGCCUUGAACUCCGCCACGGCAAUGGGGCCCCAGCGCUGAGGUGUGGUGCCACGUGUGGUAAGCCCAGAACGGUAACAGGCCUGAAUGGCAAUGGCGGCUACUAGCGCAGCUACCAUUCGCCGCCAUGCGUCCGUUGACAGGUUGGAAUAGAUGGUGCCAGUGGUAGCAUCCAUCCUUUCACCUGUGUGCGUCGGUGAUGGGGUUUGCGGGUGCGUGGUGAGAGAGGGGGACAGGUGCACGCUAUCAUGAACCAGGCUAAAUUCGUAAUAAUUCGCCCCCCAUGCGCCACAAACCCCACCCAACCUGAAACCCCUUAGUUCCCCAGAUCCAUUUCCACGUCACUGUGUCGCACAAUUCCGCCGACCUUUGCGCACCCCAGCAUAUGUGUGCCCGCGGUUUCCAAUGCUCUAUUGAAUGCACCAAAAGCCAGCCCAGGCCCUGCGUCCUAGGGCCCAAACGAGCUCCUCCGUACAAUGUUUGCUCGCACACUCCGGCGCACGCGAUUAGGUGUCGCGCGCUACUGUAUGGUAGCCCUUGUGUCGCACAAGUGGUUGGAGCGUGUUUGGGGUGAGUUGGCGCGGCAGGGUGGUGUCGCGCCCAUGCUGCCCCGCUUGCGGGGCUUGUUCCCGGCCGGUCUCUGAUGGCUAUGGUGUAGUCCUAUGAAUUAUCUGUGCGCGGGUUGGUGCCCGGCGAAUUUCUGUUGCAUGGGGCCUGCGCGCAUGGCGUGCCCCUCGGGGGGUAAUCGCGCUCGGAUCACAUAAGGGCCGCUCGAACUAAAAUUUGCCACUCAUACAAUAAUUACAGCUACUGUAUGUCUACUCGCCCAUGUGUAGCACGCUUGGGCGCUAGCUCGCAUUUGAGAGAACCAACACCCUUGCUCCCCCCAUUUUCGUCAAAACCAACAUUCUGCAAAUUGAUACUGUAGUUCUCACUCUGAGUAGCAGCUACGGCUGUCGUUCCCGUGGUUGAGAGCCCUUACCGUUGUGGUUCUACUGUGGAGGCAGCGGGCGUAGCGACCGGGCGCAAGCAGCCGAGCGGGCGGUGGAGAACCAGUCGCAAAAGUCUGCGGAAUUGUGGGAUCCAGUGAAGGCGGGUUCGUGUGUCGGUUGUGACAGAGCGAGGUGAGCCCGAGCGCGAAGCCCAGCUGGCGCUACAACCUUUGGGUCAAAAGUCAACGAUAGCCGCUGCGGGCCAGGCGCGUGGCCUCGCUGGGUCGCUGGUUGCACCCAGCAUGGCGUUUCGCAAGCUUAACUGGUUUUGGUUGCAAGUUCCUUCGCGGCGAUGCUCCAAUUGCGCCCUAUGCACUGGUUGCAGGUCGUCGGCGGUGUUCCGGCGUCAUGCUUCCGUGGCAAAAUGUAUGAUGCGCUCCGGUCAUCGAGUCGCAUGUGCCGGAGGGACCAAUAGCAGGCAGCGCAGCUUAGAAUUGCAAUCGGUGAGUAUAUGUAGACAGCCACUACUAACGUGUAUCAUUAGCGACCAGUCAUACUUGUGGCGCGUCGGCACGCCGCACGCGUGCCCGCCGUCACUCACCCCAAAGGGGUCUGUUCCCGACACUCGCGCCAGCCGUACCGAUGCGCCAGCAUUUCGCGCAACCAUACCAUCUGACGGAGCGCUAUGCGCAAUCAUCGCUUACCGAAUGCCGGCUCAGGUUCCUAUCCGCAACUGCUCCAUCCCCACUAAGUUACGGUACUCACUUCCCCUCCUUCACACCCUUUCCUGCCUGCCUCCACCCUCAGCGAAACUUCUUGGCCGGCCAGUGCCCGCCCGCCUUCAGCACCGCCGGCAACGUGUGUGCCAGCAUCCGCUUCAUACAGUCACGCACAAACUGUGGCGUGAUGACCUUCUGAACCACCUUCUCCAUCUCGUCCAGGUAGGGCUGCAGGGGGUCCUCGCCAGCCUCGGUGGGCCGCCGUGCGUUGCAGAACUGCCGCAUGACGAGGGCAACGGCCGCGUGCGACUGCUCCACUGGGCAGUGCAUGUCGCCGCUGUACGUGGGAAGCUUCAUGAAAUUGGCCUUAGUGACGCCCACACCACGGAAGUCAGCAAUCUCGCCGUUGCCGUGGCAUGCCGGGUUGUCCCAUGACACGUAGGGCUUGAUAGGGGCCACGGGCGGGGGUGGCGGCGGCUUCCUCUUACCCCGCCGGCCCUGCUUCUGCGCGGCCUUCACCGCCGCGGUUUGCUUUGCAGCCAGCCUUGCAGCCUUCUCCCGGAACGCGCCCAGCAUGCGCCCUAUGUACUUAACAAACUCCGCCUUCGUGAUGAACCUUGCAUCCUUCCCCGCCAGGGUCUGCGGUGGUGACAGGCAGUGGCGGGCGGCAGCUUGAGCAUGGCGCGUGGAGGACACAACCGGCGGCGCUUCCCACCCUCUGUGGCAGCGCGAUACAGCCCCCUGAACCGGGAGCCGCUAAACGCACGGGGGACAGAUGACCGGCGGCCCGUGCUGUGGAGGCUGCAGUGUGGGUGCUUUGUCUACAAGGCACGGCACACAGUGGCUAACAGUAUUCGGCGAUGUGCCCCGCACGCACCCAGCUGCUUCAACUGCACCUAUCACACCUCCGGCCGAGGUGCAAGUGAGGCCGCACAGCGCGCGUUUCGCAUGCUGAUUGACCUUGCGCGGCGGCUGGGGGAGGCGUGUACGGUGGUGUGGGAGGCGCGGGUGGUUGAGGGGUGUGGCCCCUUCGACUUUUGGCUGUGGGAGUGGGGUGUGGUGGUUGAAGUGGAUGGCAUGCAGCACACGGAUACCCCGCAUCACGGCACGGAAGCGCAAGCACAGUGGCUGGUGGAUCGGUGGAAGGAAGCAGCUGCUGUUCGCAAGCGGCUGCAUGUGGCGCGGUUGCAUGUGAUGGACAUGGUGUGCUGGGAGGCCGUGGUUGCGCGUGCACUGUGUGCUGCUCGUAACGGCAUUCCGCCGUGCGUGCACUACAGCGACUACUACCUGCGGCCUGUGAUUACACAGUCAUGAGCUCCCAACGCACCUGGUACUGUAGCUCGGGUGGCGGCGUGUAGGCCCUGCCUGUGGUGCCGGCAACAGGCUCCCAUCGCACGACGCCGAAGGCAGGGCACACGGUGAU
rnacentral:lncRNA from 1 species